UUAAGUAGUGUAUAUGCACGUUUGAUUUUCAGUCUUUCAGAAGGUUAAGCCUCUUAAA
rnacentral:tRNA from 1 species